GUAAGUAAACACUGUUCAGUGGCCUGGCCUCCUAAGCUGCCAGGAACUGUCCACGUUCCACAGCAGAAAUGGCUCUCUUUGCAAAGUGUCUACAUUCUCUUGCUUCCAACGAGUACCAUAAGGCUAAUCAUUUAGGAAGGAGAUCUGACCAAACUAGGAGGGGGCUUGCAGAUGGUGGAAUUUGACUUGGGCUCGAAGAGAGCUACUGAAGGUUUAAAGAGCAAGACAGCAGACAUUUGUGAUUUGGAAGGCUCCCAAUAGGCCAUUUGUUAAAAAGGAAUUGGGGAAGAAUAUCAGGAACAAUAAAGUCAGAAAAGUGACACCGUCUAGGUGAAAAAAGAUGCUGGUCCUGUGCAGGAGUGUAAAUGCAGCGAUGUAAAGAGAGAGGAUGAAACACGGGGAGAAGGACGUUUGGUAGGUAGGAGGUGCGCUGCAUAGCCGCUUGCUACUCUGCAAGAUGCUGAACGCUCCUGGCCAGACCUGAUGUAGGCAAGAGGGAUAUUGAGAUGAAGUGGUCCCUUGUCACUUAAAGGGCACCGUUUCUUUUGAAAAGCUUAGCCUUUCUCUAAAUCUUAAACCUACAUUAUUUUGGCUCCAGCAAAUGCCUGGUGUGAGUCCUUCCAUAGGGGAUUGUUAAUGUCGCUCAGGCGCUCUGAAUUAUUGAUGAGUUUCAGGGUUUGUGGAAUUAAUGAGCUGCCGCCAUGGGGAAGGAUGGGCAGAUUGCUUUAAGAAAGUCAGCAAGUCACCCUGGAGGAGGCUUCCUCCUGCUGGCUAACGGGGGUGUGAUGGGCACCACAAGCCAGAUGUAGAGUCAGAGUGAACCUUACUCUACUCACAGGCGCUCCGAGGACCCCUCUGAAACCAAAGAGACAGCAAAGGUCCUCAGGGUGGAAGGUCCUCGGUCUGAAGUGACUGACUGUGGAUAAGUGUCCCUGGGGUCCCCUCCCCUGGGCACCUCUGAGCAGCACAGAGUGUGUGUAGUAGGCAGCCAGAGGAAUUCAUAAGAACCCAAGAGAGGUGUUGUAGAAGAGACAGGCUAUAAUAGCAAUAUUAGGGGUGGGGGGUAGGUGUGUUCCAAGGCCAAGAUGGAAAAUGCUCUACAAAAAUCAAAUGAGCAAUUCUCUUUAGUAAGGUUAUUAAUUCUCAGUGUGGUGAAGAAUUGAACCAUUUUCUAACUUGCAUGGCAGGUAUCAUUGCCAUCACUGUCUUGAAGCAUCUAGAAUAACGUAGCCCACAGACCACGUCCACCUCAUCACACGGUUUUGUACGUAAAGCCUUAUUAGAACGCACUGUGCUUGUAACUCAGCUGCAUGCCCCUGCUUUGGCACUCCGGUGGCAUAACCCUGUGACCAUGGCAAUUUCCUAACAGCUCACAAGCUGAAAUAUUUGGGCCUUUGCACAACGAAUUUUGUGGGGUUUGAUCUAGAUAACUGCCUCCAUUUUCUACUUGGUCUUUCUAUGAGCCCUACUUGUGGUCAUGACAGCAACCUAGGCUGUGUGCACCCUAUGUACCGACUUCCCAAUAGAGAGAGAAUGUGACGUAAGUGGAGAAUUCUGCCACUGCUUCCCAGUUUGUGCAUCUUACACGCCUUACCUAUCAUGCUGAGUUCCCUAAUGCCCCUGUGCUGUAAGUAAGAAUACAGGGGUUCUAAAAAGUUCAUAAGAUGCUGGAUCCCGUGUCCGCUGAGUCAUGGAGCCGGCCUUUGGUGCGCCUCCUAAGCUUGUACUCUCACAAAUAAAAAGGUCCUUUCUGCAUCUUAUGAGAUGCUGUAUCUUAUGGCAAAAUCAAAGAAUCUCUCAAUAUCUUUAAAGCUUUCACACCCUUCUUCUAAGAUGAACCAUGAUAUGAGUGGUUUAAUUAAACACAGUCCCUGGCCAGAUGAACAAAAAUUUAACUGAGACUAAUUAAAGGACAGGAGAGUUUUUGCCUGCUGAGACCACUCGAGGUACUGAUCAUGGUGGCUUAGUCAGAGCACAGGGGAGCCACCUAUAUGUCACCCAUCGCUCCUGGCACCCAUUUUUUUUCAGUUUUCUUCUUGAUAAGUUUUGAAGAUGGCCAUUCUGGUAGCCUCCCCCACCUGCUCUCUAUGUACUACCAAACUUUCUGUGGUCACCACUGAGUUCUAAGGACACAGGCAAUCUUCCUUUGAGAGGAAAGGGCUGUGGCUGUAUUGACUUGUUGGCAACUCCAUUGACCAGCUCGAGGAAAAAUAAAUAUUUGUUUUCUGUUGGAAUAAGAGUCAACUAUCAAAAGCCCUUGAGCCAUAAUGUUCUUUAACCUUUGUGUGCUGAUUUUAAUAUGUAUUGCUAAAAGUCCUUGAAACAACAGUCUCAGGUUUCUAUUGAUAGCUGCUCCAUGAGUGUCUAUGUGUGGCAGGCCUGUCGGUAGACAGCCAUGUUCAUCUUUGUUGUCCCCUUUAAAAAAUAACAAGUCACAGAUAUGGGUAGCUCUGCUGACAGAGUGCUUACCUGGCGCACAUGAACCCCAUAACCCUCACUACAUAAAGUGGACAUGCCAGCACACCCCUGUGAUCUCAGCACUUGGGAGGCAGAGUUGGGAAGAUCAGAAGAUGAAGGACAUCCUCAACUGUACAGCAAGAAUGCAGUUAAUGUGAGCUACGUGAGACCCUGCCUUUAAAAAAAAAAAAACAGAGUGAAUG
rnacentral:lncRNA from 1 species